CAAGUUCAGUCAAUGUAAAGCCUUAACAUUGUAAAGAAGCAGCAAAAAAAAAAAAAAAAUUAUUUAUCACACAAGUUUUUUUUUUGUUUUUGUCCUCCUACAAGUUUUGUUUUCUUCCUUUUUUUUGUCAAUAGAAAGCAAGAUUUAUUGCUCCUGUGAAUUUUAAUUCUUCUUCUUAUAAAAAAAAAAAAAAAAAAAAACAGUGUCAAAAAUUAAUAAACAGUUUUUUCAAAAAUUUUCCCGCUGCUAAUAAAAAAAUUAAGAAAGUAUAUCGUUGUUCAGGCGAUUUAUUUGCAUAAUUAUUAAAAAAAUGGUGGGGGCAACGGUGACACCAAAAAGAAAAAGUUCCAUAAAAAUGCCAUCGCCAGCGCAUGAGACACAAAAUAUUCUCAUGACUUAUUUGAUUCUUAUUCUACUGCUAAUAUCGCUCUAUUUACUAUACUCCGGAUUAUUUUAGUUCCAGGACAUUUUUCGUUAUGGGUUAAGUAAAUGAUGUUCAAGUGAAUGGAAAGCUUGUCUUUUUGCCAAAAGAAAAAGAUGAGCAUCACAGGGCAAGACCUCCAAGAGGUGAAGAGAAUAAAUAUAUAUAUACAUUGUAUGUUAUCGUCAUCAUCGUUAAAAUAUAUAUUUCAUGUUUUUUAUAA